GGGAGUAAAAGUCGUAACAAGGUCUCCGUUGGUGAACCAGCGGAGGGAUCAUUACUGGAAUCGCAAGAUCCCACAACCCUGUGAACCUACCGAAACGUUGCCUCGGCGGGUGCCCGGCCUCUGCGCCGGGCGCUGCGCCCGCCGGCGGCCCCCUACUCUGUCUCUGCAGCGUGGCAUCUCAGAGUCCCAGAAAACAAGUCAAAACUUUCAACAACGGAUCUCUUGGCCCUA
rnacentral:misc_RNA from 1 species